rnacentral:rRNA from 1 species
UACAGAGGGUGCGAGCGUUGUCCGGAUUCAUUGGGCGUAAAGAGCGUGUAGGCGGCCAGGUAGGUCGGUUGUGAAAACUGGAGGCUCAACCUUCAGAGGUCGACCGAAACCAUCUGGCUAGAGUCCGGGAGAGGAGAGUGGAAUUCCUGGUGUAGCGGUGAAAUGCGCAGAUAUCAGGAAGAACACCCGUGGCGAAAGCGGCUCUCUGGAACGGUACUGACGCUGAGACGCGAAAGCGUGGGGAGCGAACAGG